rnacentral:lncRNA from 1 species
CUUUUAUCUAUAAACCAGAGAGGACACAUCAUGCAGGAAAGACCCACAAAGGUCGUAACGUCAAGGGAAAAAUUCUCCGGGGUUCGUUUUGACAUAGAUAUCAUCUGAGAUGCAAUCUGAGUGAACAUGCUCUCUCAGCUCAUGGUGUCAAAUACGUGGCUGAAUCCAGUGACCUGAUGAUGGGUGUGCGUGAGCCAUGUCUCAGGAGCGGGAUUGUAGUACAGAUUGGAGGAGCAGAAGGAAUUUGAAAGCAGAUAACGCUGGCAGGGACCCUAAGUAUUCAGGAAGACGGCUGUGCCUGCAACAGCAGAAACAAGUGGACAUGACCAGCCACGUUCUCCAAACAUUUGAAUGAACUCCGGCAGGUGUCCACACACAAGGAGGAGGACUGGCAGUCAGAGGAAAGUCACUUGCUGUCCUUCCCCGCAUCUGGAGGCUGGAAACAACUUGAGGACUGCCAUGAAGAUGCCAACUGCUGUGUGUGAGAGAAUGGGUGUCAAGGCCAUGAUCUCCCAGAAGGUGAGGAGUAGUGUAAGAGGUGGUGUUUCAAAUUCUGUAAGGUGACUUUGAAGCUCAGACUAGUGAGCUAGGCAGGAGGCUGGAG